GAGGAUGUCAUCCAAGCCGCCGUCCUCCUCGGCUGCCCCCGACGACACCGGCGCCGCCGCCACGGUCUCCAGAGACCCGCCAUUAGAGACCGCCGCGACCUCCUCGCUCUUCUCCUCCGCCGGCGGCGGAUCGGGCUUGUCCUCCGUGACGACGACGGUGGACGCCGACGCCGACGCGGGCUCCUCCGAUGGCACCGGGUCCGGCGCCGCCGCGCUCGCGCACCGCCAUCCUCGAGUCGGGA
rnacentral:misc_RNA from 1 species